rnacentral:rRNA from 1 species
UUAAUUCUACUCCCAAGCCGUAGAAUGGAUGACUAGGUUUUAGACACCGACGAAGGGCGUGGCAAGCUGCGAAAAGGAGGAGGUAGGCGCACGCGGCCGUUGAUCUCCUCACGCCUGAAUGCGUGAUGCCUGUCCGAAAGGACAGAUUCCUCGCAAGAGGAAGGGGAACCUAGGGAAGUAAAACAUUUUAGUACCUAGAGGAGAAGAAAUCAAUUGAGAUUCCCUUAGUAGGGGCGACCGAAAGGGGAAGAGGGCAAAUCGAAUCUUCGCAAGAAGAGAUGUGACGCGAUCAUAAGAAGCUAACUUUGAGGUGAAGUCCACUGGAAUGUGGCACCAUAGAGAGUGACAGUCUCGUAGCUUCAAAAGUUAGCUUUGGAUUGCAAAGAGUACCAGGGGUUGAAAUUCUCCUGGAAAGAUAGGGGUCACGAACCUCUAACCCUAAAUAUGUCUAAAAUCCGAUAGCGCAUAGUAGCGCGAGCGAACGUUGAAAAGCACUCUCGAAGAGAGGGUGAAAAGAGCCUGAAAUUCUACGGUGAUAGUUGGUGCGGCUCUACGGAGUUGCACCAUCCUUUGUGGAUAAAGGGCCGGGGAGUUUGGGUACAUGGCAAGGCUAACCUUUUAUGGGAAGCCGCAGCGAAAGCGAGUCUGAAAGGGCGUUAAGUCAUGUGUCCAAGACCCGAUGCCGAGUGAUCUAUGCCCAAGCAAGACGAAGCCGAGCUUUAUGCUUGGUGGAGGUCUGACCGGGUGAGGUGUCUCCUCUCCGUCGACUUGGGCAUAGGGGCGAAAAACCAAUCGUACUCGGUAGUAGCUGGUUCUCCUCGAAAUGUCCCACAGGACAGUUACUACGAUGGUUCUCAUACGGUAAAGUUACUGAUAGGAUGUGCAUGCAUCGAAAGGUGCAGCCUUCCUGUCAAACUCAGAAUGUAUGAGAAACUAUAUCGUAGUGAUUGGGUGUCUGGCGUAAAGUUGGACACCGAGAAGAGAACAAUCUAGACAUGAGUUAAGGCCCCUAAAUGUGCACUAAGUACGCGCAAAAAGUGCGAUUAUCAGAGACAACUGGGAGGUAGGCUCAGAAGUGGCCAUCCUCUAAGGAGUGUGUUACAACUCACCAGUCUAGAUAAUCACACUUGAAGACGGACGGGGUUAAGUGCACUGCCGAAACUCAUGA